AUACGGAGGGUGCAAGCGUUACUCGGAAUUACUGGGCGUAAAGGACGCGUAGGCGGUUUAGAAAGUCAGAUGUGAAAGCCUAUGGCUUAACCAUAGAACUGCAUCUGAAACUCCUAGACUAGAGUGAGGGAGAGGUCGGUGGAAUUAGUGGUGUAGGGGUAAAAUCCGUAGAGAUCACUAGGAAUACUCAUAGCGAAGGCGACUGACUGGAACUUUACUGACGCUGAGGCGUGAAAGCGUGGGGAGCAAACAGGAUUAGAAACCCCAGUAGUCC
rnacentral:rRNA from 1 species